AUGUGCACAUACACACACAGAAAUCCCCCACACAACCCCUAUACACCCCCCAAGCACUCCCCCCCCCAUGCACACAGCUGCCCAGUGCACACAUAUGCUACUGCACACACACACACACACACACACACACACACACACACCCUGUCUGCACACAUCCCCUCGUGCACACAAACACCUCAUGGACAUGUACACACACACACACACACAAACAUAUCAGCAUAUUCCCCCCCCUUGCAUUCCCAUCAUCCAAACUUCUACAUACCCCAUGCAUGUGUGUACACCCCCCCCACAUCCCUAAGCACACCGCCACAUGUGCACAUACACCCCAUUCAUGCACGCACCCCAACGAUGCACGCACAUUUACAUCCCACGCACAUACACACCCCCGUGCACACAUACACCCCCCAUGUAGCCCAUGCACACACACACAUCCAUACACACUGCCCCAUGUACACACUCCCACACAGCCCCGUGCACACACAUGCACACGUCUGCACGCACACGUACACACACAUGCACACAUACAUGUCCCCGUGCACACAAACCCCAUGCACAUGUGCACAUCCAUGCACGCACACGCACACACAUGCACACAACCCUCCCGGCUCUCCCUGCGCAGGGCAGAGCUGCCUCCCACCCUGGCGCUGCCCAUGGCUCUGUGCUCCAGCUGGGCUCCAGGGCAGCCCGAGCCGGGGGUCCCAGGGAGGGAGGGCCACGGGGCUGCAAGCCCCCUCGGCCCUGCCACGGCCCCGCAGCCCUCUGCGCUCCUCCGCCAUCCCCAGCGCCGCGCGGGGCGGCUGGGGGAAGCUGGGCUGCGAGCCCCAUCUCCUGGCGAGCAGGAGCAGCUCUGCGCAGAGCGGUGCAGAAAUGGGACCGGACAGGCAGCUCUCCCGCUCGGCUCGGCCCGGGCCCCCUGGGACGCGGGGCAAGAGGGGGGGUCGGGCUGCAGAGCCACGUCACGCCCCGGUGCAGGCCCUGGACCUACCGGCAUGGGAAGGCUCCCGUGCCCACAUCGGGAAUACGGCUGUGUCUCAAAUGGCCGGAGCAAAGCCCAGCCAGGCACGGAGAGGGCUCAGCUGCGCUGCGCCGACGUGGAGACGCCAUAGGCAUCUCCAGGCUAGGAAGGGGGGAGAUGCCUGCAGGGCCCCCUGA
rnacentral:lncRNA from 1 species